UACAGAGACUGCAAGCGUUAUUCGGAUUCACUGGGCGUAAAGGGUGCGCAGGCGGCCAAGUGUGUGAGGCGUGAAAAGCCUGGGGGCUUUAACUCCAGAAUUGCACCUCAAACUACAUGGCUAGAGCAUUUGGAGAGGGUAGCAGAAUUCACGGUGUAGCAGUGAAAUGCGUAGAUAUCGUGAGGAAUACCAGAGGCGAAGGCGGCUACCUGGACAAUUGCUGACGCUCAGGCACGAAAGCGUGGGGGAGCAAAAAGGG
rnacentral:rRNA from 1 species